rnacentral:misc_RNA from 1 species
GUAGGAGUGAGCCUGCUCGCGAUAGCGGUUCGUCAGUCGGAUAAUCAUUCACUGACCCACCGCUAUCGCGAGCAGGCUCACUCCUAC